AUGAGAUGAGAAGGUUGGUCAGAGUCGAGGAAGGAAUCGCAAGUUGAUGCCUGGCUGAGAAGAUCCGGCGAUGGAAUGCAAAACUCCUCGAUUUGAGUUACAAAUGCUAGUAGAGGGUUUGAGGAUCCCGACAAGUUCCAACACCCUCAUCGAAAAGUACACUACCUCCUGUCUCAGCACCAUGGUGCAGGCUUCUUCAGAAAGAUGUUACGCAUACAUGAUGACGAGAAGUAUGUGGAUGUACUUUUUCAAGAUAGUCUAUCGGGCAUCUUUGGACUGACAUGGACCUGAGAAAGAAUAGGUCAGGAGCUGAAAGAUCUGGUGAAGCCUUUCUGAGGCAUACAAGCCACUAACAUGGACAUGGCGCCGAGCCGAACCCAAUUGCAGAGUUUGUGUCAGAAAAUCCAAGCGAAGCUUCAAAGAAAUCCAAAGGUGGCUGUGAGCUAGCCGUAGAGUGCACAACCUCCUAUGCUGGAGAGAGAGCUGACUGACAUGUUCAUUGGGACCUUGCAAGGUGUGUUCAUGGACCGCAUGGGAAGUUGCCCGUUCAGUAGCUUUUCUGAUGUUGUUGUCUGUGGGGAAAGGAUUGAGAGCCUUAUCAAAGCAGGAAAGAUACAAGAUCCCAGCUUUGCAAAUUAUUCAAGUUCUAAGAAGCCAUUCUCUGGGGCACCCAGAAGGGGAGAGAAUGAAACAAAUGCUAUGCACCGUCGAAGGAGUGCAAGCAGAGGACCAUAUCGUCAGGUCGCUGCUGUGACUAUCCCAGCAACUCAAACUCCGCAGCAACAGAGAAAACCAACUCAGCAAUAUCAACAUCAACAACAUCGUCCUCAGCAGCAGGCUUACCAGCCUCCCAAUGAUAAUCAAGCCAAUACGGGUAAUGAGAGGAAGAGGAUCAUUUUUGACCCGAUUCCUAUGUCUUACGCAGAGCUGUAUCCCUCGUUGAUAGAGCGGAACUUGAUUACUCCUAGAGACCCGCCGGCUAUACCCGUCAACCCUCGGUGGUGGUAUAGGCCCGAACAGCAUUGUGUGUAUCACUCGGGUGCUCCUGGUCAUGAUGUGGAUAGUUGUUUCCAGCUGAAGAUGAAGGUUCAAGACCUUAUAAGGUCAGGUAUUCUGAUCUUGGAGGAUUUAGGUCCCCGUGUUAAUCAAGCUUGAAGAUAACAAGUCCUGGGCUGGCGCCGACUUUUCUUCAGAAAGGUUGUUCAGAAAAUAGAAGUUGUUGAUGCAAGAGAUACUGACAGUUGUUAUCCCUGGUGGGAUCUAUCACAAUUGGGUCACUGUGGGUGUUCCUACAGUUGUUCAGAAGUCAGAGUAAUAAUCACUUUGUUUAAAAACCCUUCUCCCAUGCCAAAGGGAGAAGUGAUGACUUUAUUGGCAACACUUUGUGCAAUGAUAUUUUCAUUCAAAUAAAUGCAUGUUAAACAUUUGUUUUUCCAAUUGUUUUCCCUUUUCGCUUUUUGCAUGAAAUCGGUGAUCACAAAAAACCCUAAAAACAAGAAUAAAAGCCAUCUUUUCAUCUGCAUAACGAUUGUUUGUUUGAUUUUCAAAAAGCUUUUCAAUAUCGAACAUCAUUAUGCCAGGUUGUUUCUCAAACCAUUGAACAUAAUGAUCGGACGUCAUCUCCCAAUUUUGAAAUUCCCUGUAUUCGAAGUAGAAGAGAUGAUGUUGAAGGACUCCUGACGAGAGUUUCCCGACUUCUGAGCAAGAAAAGAAGAUCACUCAGCUGCAUCUCGAGAAUCAGCAGAACAGCCAACUGGGGCAUCAAAAAAAAAAUCAAUUAAAACAAAAAAAAAAAAAACAAAGAAAGAGAGGGUGCAAAAGAAAUCAAAAGAAAUCAAAAGCAAAAUCAAAAGGAAAAAACAAAAGAAAAAUAACACCCUCAAAGUCCCAAGUUGACUGAUGCUGAAUUCGAUCGAAAAGAAGAGAUCAACUGCCAUGUGUCAUGGUCAGUUAUAUCAGCAGAUGAAAGCAUUCAACAAGAAGGUCAAGCCUCGUGUGUUCCGAGAGACCCUGUGCUCAAGAAAGUCUUGUCUUUCGUGCCCGAUUCCAGGGGCAAGUGGACGCCAAGCUAUGAAUGUCCAUAUAUGGUCGAGAAAGCCUUUUCAGGCGGUGCUCUAACAUUCACAACAAUGGAUGGAGAAGUUCACUCAUCCUAGGAAGUCCGGUGCAGUCAAGAAAUACUUCGCCUAGAAUAAAAAAAAAAGGCAAAACAGCUCGCUAAGUCGAACACCCCAAAGGGCGACUUAGGCAAAAAGGAGCGUCUCGGUGGAUUGAAAACCCGAAAGGGCGAUCCAGGCAAAAGUUAGAGACAUUGGAAAAAAGAGUUUGCAUCCCGCUAGAUUGAGCACCUCACACUGGGGCAAUCUAGGCAAAAAUUAGGGAUUUGGCAAGUAACUGCAUCUUGACAAGAUUGUGCCGUGUUCUAUAUCUGUCAUCCGCCAGGAAUUCUCGAUUCGUCGUCGACUGAAUCUCCGAAUACAUCGAAAAUUCGGAAUGGUAGAGGAAAGGUCAUUAUGUUCAAUGUAUCCCUCUCCAAUAUAUAUCACCGAUUUCAAACUUGUACAGAUCUAUGGAGUCUCGCCCUUUGCAGACUACUAUUCCAUUACACUGAUUUGAGCUUUUAUCCAAUUCUUUGCACUCUUAUUUGUUUCAACUCAACAAAUGUUUUGCAUGUUUUAAUUGAUAAAGUAUCAUUGUUUUCAAAAUAAACAAAUUUUUCAAAAUUGUUCUUAAACAAAGUGAACAUUCACCAUGAUGGAAGGAUACUUAGGAGACCCGCAGUGCUCUCCCAAGGGUGGUAUGAUCACCAACAGGUAAGACAUUUGUUCGUAUCUCGAGCAUAACUAUAUCUUUGUCCUGCAGAACCUUUUCAGGGUUACUUCUCAGCGAGGUUGCUCAGUGCAGUGUUGGUCGAAGUUGUUCAUCUUCAUGUCCCCGACAGUGCAACAUUUUUCCCCAGGUCCCUGGUAGCUCUAUUGUGGGGCAGCACUAGUAAAGUGAUGUUUGAGCCCUACUGAGGGGCAUCCUUAGCAAGUUUGCUAUUUGAACGUUAUUGUGGGGCAGUUCUCGAGCAGUAUGUGUACUGAAGACUUCAACUUUCGUCUCUCCAGCAAAACAGUCUUCUCCUCCCUGGCACGGGUGCUUUUCUGCAACGAUUCGGUAUUUGGAGGGUUGACAUCCCAGUAUUCUGUCAUUUUCUCGGGUAGGUCCUCAGCAGAGUGGUUGACAUGAGGAACUUCAUCAACGCCUAUCUAUUUUCACUAGAGAUCUGGUUGAUGCUUGGUAUCUCUGUUCUCCAGCAGGAGUGAGAAGUCGGUGCUCUCCCCGCAGAGUUUUCCUCAAGCAGACUUCUUCAAACAGAGUCUCCCCACAGAGUUGGAGUAUCUGAUCAGUUCGGCUCCCUAGCCGGAGUUCAUUUUGCAUUUUGCAUAUAGUGAUCAUUGCAUCCUCAAACUGCGUAGCAUUUCCAUUCAUAAUGGAGCAUUACGUCGUAGAAAAAGUCAAGCAUGUGCAUUCAUGGGUUAACCCCAUCAGACCGUAUCCCCGGCAGAGGCAGAUUCUUGUUCGACAUCUGUACAUUCGCUACAGUUGCUCCUGACGGCUUUCAGGAUUGGCCCCCCCAGAGAGGUUUAUUUCCUCAUCCGUUGGUGAAAGAAAAACCUGGUACUUCCCCCCAGUAGCCUCCUAUCAGAUGUGGGUGUGUCUGAUCUCUCCGUGUAGAGCCAACCCCUUAAGCAGAAAGUGUCUAUCCUUUCCUGCCAUUUCCCCACCGAGAUACAUCCUCGUGGAUAACGGUUAUUUCCGUUCCCUCCCUAAUGGGAUGGGUUUUCCCUAUUGAGUUCGUUCCUCAUUAGGAUGUCUUGAUUCAGUUUGCCUUUUCGGAUCGACCCUGAAUUGGCCUCCUGGGGCUGUCUCUUGUGCUUCCCUGUAGUAUAAAUGAAUAAUUCAGUUUGCCUUUUCGGAUCGACCCUGAAUUGGCCUCCUGGGGCUGUCUCUUGUGCUUCCCUGUAGUAUAAAUGAAUAGUUGCUCACUAACCGGCGCUCAUUCAUCUUAUCCUCAGCGGAAUUUUUAGGCUUCUACCUACAACCCGGUAGUUGUAAGUCCUAUUGUUGUGGUUUUCUACCUACUGCUGGUAGUUGUAAAAUCCCACUUUCGUCCCCUAACAGAGGUAACCUUUGUGGUUCAUUCCGAUUGUUAGCGGAGUUCGCGGUCUUCUACCUACUACCCGGUAGUUGUAAAUCCUUUGUUCUCACCCUGUCCCUCACCAGAUUGAUUGUGGACUUCUACCUACGAACCGGUAGUUGUAAGUCCUAUUGUUGUGGUUUUCUACCUACUAUUGGUAGUGGUAAAAUCCCACUUUCAUCCCCUUGGUGGAGUUAACCCUUCGUGCUCAUCCUAUCGAUGACUGGUUACUUUUCUGUGGUUUUCUACUUACAAACCGGUAGAUGUAAUCCCCUCUUUGCAGUUAUCAGUACCCCGUUUGCGGUAUUGAUAUUCUUUUCCCCUCUGGAUAUUGGCCUUGAUCAAGCAGUAUUGUCCCCAGUGGGUCUUCCCCUUCCCUUUGGGUAUUUGCUCCGAGUUAGCAACUUUAUCCUCUGAUUGGUCAUCUUUUGCAUACCUAGUCCUGGUACCCUGAUGCCUUUCUUGUCGGUUGAUUUAUCCAUCUAACAACCUCAACCCGGUUAUGGAUAAUCUUCCAUGCGAGUAUGUUAUCUACGUUUUGACGGCUAUAGAUAAUAUGUCUCAUGCACUCGUUGGUCAGUCUUUUGAUUGUUACCUCCAGCAGAGUAAGAUUCGUAUUCCUUUGUUCGAAAUCGAAUGUCCAUCCUUUAACAAGUUUGCUUUCGUUCUCUUCAGGAUGAUGUCGGUCGUUUAUCCAUUUAACAACCAAUCCGGUUAUGGAUAAUCUUCCGUGCGAGUAUGUUAUCUACGUUUUGACGGCUAUAGAUAAUAUAUCUCAUGCGCUCUUGGGUCGAAGUCGUCCUCCCCAGUUGAGUAAGAUUCGUAUUCCUUUGUUCGGAAUCGAAUAUCCGUCCUUUAACAAGUUUGCCUUUGCUCUCUUCAGGAUGAUGUCGGUCGAUUUAUCCAUUUAACAACCUCCAAUCCGGUUAUGGAUAAUCUUCCGUGCGAGUGUGUUAUCUACGUUUCGACGGCUAUAGAUAAUAUAUCUCAUGCACUCUCUGGUCAGUCUUUUGAUUGCUUUCUCCAGCAGAGUAAGGUUCGUAUUCCUUGUGGAAUCGAAUAUCCAUCCUUUAACAAGUUUGCUUUCGCUCUCUUUAGGAUGAUGUCGGUCGAUUUAUCCAUUUAACAACCUGCAACCCGGUUAUGGAUAAUCUUCCAUGCGAGUCUAUUAUCUACGUUUUGACGGCUAUAGAUAACAUAUCUCAUGCACUCUCUGGUCAGUCUUUUGAUUGCUUUCUCCAGCAGAGUAAGGUUCGUAUUCCUUGUGGAAUCGAAUGUCCAUCCUUUAACAAGAUCUGCUUUUCUAGCCCUCUUCAGGAUGUUGAGUGUUUUGGAGCAAACCAAUUCACGCUUUGGUCGGUCACCUGUUUCAUACCUACAACCCGGUGUCCUUGGUGUUCCUUCCUGUUUGCUCACUAUCGUGACCUUGAUCCCCAGUGAGAUCCCCUGCAAGUGUUUAGCCUUGCCUUGACAUAAAUGUCGGUAUCCUGGCAGCACCCGCGUGUGUUGUUUCUUUGGUGUCGGUAAACACCAUCUUUCGGUGCUUUCCCAGUCAUGCGUAAGUGUCUGGUCUUUUUUGAUGUCGGUAAACAUCAUCUUUCGAUGUUUGUAACGUCGUCCUCCUUCCCCAGAAGAGUCCUCCUCUCCGUUGGUGUCGAUAAACGUCGAGUUUUUCCUAUGCGUCCGUUGACGUAUAGUUGCUUAUUCCCCACAGAUCGUUUGGUAGUACCAGAUGGUUCCCCUCAGAGUUCUCCUCUCCGUUGGUGUCGAUAAACGUCGAGUUUUUCCGAUCGUCUGGUGACGGUUGUGGUUGAUAUAUUCCCCAUGCAGAGUCCUCCUCUCCGUUGGUGUCGAUAAACGUCGAGUUUUUCCCAGUUAUCCGUUGAUGAUUUGGUUGUGUUCGCUCUCCCUAGACGAGUUCUCCUCUCCGUUGGUGUCGAUAAACGUCGAGUUUUUCCUAUGCGUCCGAUGACGUAUAGUUGCUUAUUCCUCACAGAUCAUUCAUUAAUGACUGUUGAUUCCCCUCAGGUCCUCCUCCCCGUUGGUGUCGAUAAACGUCGAGUUUUUCCUAUUCGUCCUAUGACGUCUAGUUGUACCCUUCCCCAUGCGGAUUUACCUCCCCGUUGGUUUCGAUAAACGUCGAGUUUUUCUCAUUCGUCCGUCGACGUCUGAUUGUAUACCCCUUUCCCAGUCAUUCAUUAAUGUCUGGUUGAUUCCCAGCCAGAAUCCCCAGUAGACGUCCUAUUCGGUUUCUGAUUGUGGUGCCUUUCCCUCGUGAAGUGGCUUUCUCCUUCUCCGUUGGUGUCGAUAAGCCAGAAUCCCCAGUAGACGUCCUAUUCGGUUUCUGAUUGUGGUGCCUUUCCCUCGUGAAGUGGCUUUCUCCUUCUCCGUUGGUGUCGAUAAACGUUGAGUCUCCCUUUCGUCCUAUGACGUCUGGUUGAGCUUUCUCCUUCUCCGUUGGUGUCGAUAAACGUCGAGCUUCUCCCUUUCGUCCUAUGACGUCUGGUUGAGUUUUCUCCUUCUCCGUUGGUGUCGAUAAACGUUGAGUCUCCCUUUCAUCCGAUGAUGUCUGGUCUCCUUCUCCGUUGGUGUCGAUAAACGUCGAGCUUCUCCCUUUCGUCCUAUGACGUCUGGUCGAGUCUUCCCAUUCAUCCGAUGAUGUCUGGUCUCCGUCUUCGUUGGUGUCGAUAAACGUCGAGCUUCUCCCUUUCGUCCUAUGACGUCUGGUAGAGUCUUCCCAUUCAUCCGAUGAUGUCUGGUCUCCUUCUCCGUUGGUGUCGAUAAACGUCGAGCGUCUCCCUUUCGUCCGAUGACGUCUGGUCGAGUAUUCCCAGUUCAUUCAUUAAUGUCCGGUUACCUCUCCGUUGGUUUUGGUAAACGUCGAGUUUUUCCUGGUCAUCCCAGCUGAUUCACCUCUCCGUUGGUUUUGGUAAACGUCGAGUUUUUCCCACUACGUCCGCUGACGUAUGGUUGUAUCCUUUCCUGGUUAUCCCCAGUAGAGUUGAUUUACCUCUCCGUUGGUCUUGGUAAACGUUGAGUUUUUCCUAGUCGCCCGCUGGCAUCUAGUUGAGAUUUCUGUUCCCAUUCAUCGUGUGUCGAUGUCUGGAUGUGGUUGUGCUUUUGAAAGAAGAAAAACAGAAAAGAGACAAAUUCCCAGCAGUGUGCAAAUUCUACGGUUCUUGGUAUUCAAUCCCUGUUUACCCUGAAAGUCUGACAGCCGUUGCUCUCAUCCCUUCGGGUUCCCAGUUGAUUGAAUAGGGGCAGCUGUAGCACCUCAAAUUUGCACCNNNNNNNNNNNNNNNNNNNNNNNNNNNNNNNNNNNNNNNNNNNNNNNNNNNNNNNNNNNNNNNNNNNNNNNNNNNNNNNNNNNNNNNNNNNNNNNNNNNNNNNNNNNNNNNNNNNNNNNNNNNNNNNNNNNNNNNNNNNNNNNNNNNNNNNNNNNNNNNNNNNNNNNNNNNNNNNNNNNNNNNNNNNNNNNNNNNNNNNNNNNNNNNNNNNNNNNNNNNNNCGUUGGUGUCGAUAAACGUCGAGCUUCUCCCUUUCGUCCUAUGACGUCUGGUAGAGUCUUCCCAUUCAUCCGAUGAUGUCUGGUCUCCUUCUCCGUUGGUGUCGAUAAACGUCGAGCGUCUCCCUUUCGUCCGAUGACGUCUGGUCGAGUAUUCCCAGUUCAUUCAUUAAUGUCCGGUUACCUCUCCGUUGGUUUUGGUAAACGUCGAGUUUUUCCUGGUCAUCCCAGCUGAUUCACCUCUCUGUUGGUUUUGGUAAACGUCGAGUUUUUCCCACUACGUCCGCUGACGUAUGGUUGUAUCCUUUCCUGGUUAUCCCCAGUAGAGUUGAUUUACCUCUCCGUUGGUCUUGGUAAACGUUGAGUUUUUCCUAGUCGCCCGCUGGCAUCUAGUUGAGAUUUCUGUUCCCAUUCAUCGUGUGUCGAUGUCUGGAUGUGGUUGUGCUUUUGAAAGAAGAAAAACAGAAAAGAGACAAAUUCCCAGCAGUGUGCAAAUUCUACGGUUCUUGGUAUUCAAUCCCUGUUUACCCUGAAAGUCUGACAGCCGUUGCUCUCAUCCCUUCGGGUUCCCAGUUGAUUGAAUAGGGGCAGCUGUAGCACCUCAAAUUUGCACCCUACCAUUUUGUACAUUCAUUUCAUAUUAGGUCAUAACACAAUGUAGUCCAUUGCAUAGCAUUGCAUAGCCAUUUGCCCAAGUGCAAGUUCAACUGACAAAUUAGGUCAACUGAUCAGGGGAAUCAGUCAAACAAGCAAGCAAGUGCCAUUGCCAUUGAGACAAAGCUCUAGGGUUGUUUUAUCAAGUUCAUAUGGUCUAAGGAUCAUUGUGAAGUGAUUUGGCCAAGGAUGGGAUGAUCAAAGCUCAACAGUCAAGCUGAAUGUCCUCUGAAACCCAUAAAAGUCAACUGUAAGUCAACCGAGGGCUAGGAGGUGGAGAGAUGGGUUGAGACGCUUCCUUCAUGUCCCAAAGAAGUUCAUUUGUCAUUACAAAUACUUAUCUUGAAGAAUUUGAGGUUAGAAAUCAUUUCGUUCUUUUCUCGAAUUAAUCUUGGAAAUUCAAGUUGAGUUGGAUGAUCCGAGUUGAUUACUGAAAAGUUGAUUUGGUUGUGGAAAUUUAAUCAUGAUUGCAUUGAGCCCAUUCUUUCCUUUUUUGUUAAGCCCAUAAGUUUGGUCCAUUAACCAUUUUCCAAAUUAAUCCAUGUUUCUAAACAAUUUUUAAAUCCACAUCAAUCCAAUUUCAUUUUGUUAUCCAUUCAUCAAUUUAAUAAUCCAUUUCCUUUUUUCCAUAAACCAUUCACUAAUCCAUUUUACUCAUAUCCAUUUCAAAUCCAAUUCAAUUUCAUUGUUAAUAUCCAAGUUUAUUCAUCCAAAUCAUCAUCCAAUCAACCCAUAUUUCAUUUUAUUAAACCAACUCACCAUUAUCCAAACCAUUUUUGCAUUUGACAAAAAUUCUGCAUUAUAAAAUUCUGCACUGCAUUACAAAUUCUGCAUUGCAUUCAACAAAAUUCUGCACUAAAAAAAUUCUGCAUUGCAUUUACAAAUUCUGCAUAAUCAAAAUAAAAAAUUCUGCAUAAAAUGAGAAACAAAAUUCUGCAUAAAACUGUUAUAAAAAUUCUGCAUUAAAAUCAAAACAAAAUUCUGCAUAAAAUCCAAAUGAAAAUUCUGCAUAAAAGGAAAAUAUGGAAAAGUUGCAACGCAAAAACGCACAGCAUUACGGUAACGCCGGCAAUNNNNNNNNNNNNNNNNNNNNNNNNNNNNNNNNNNNNNNNNNNNNNNNNNNNNNNNNNNNNNNNNNNNNNNNNNNNNNNNNNNNNNNNNNNNNNNNNNNNNCCUUCCCCUUGCGUAAUCGACUCCCGAACCCGAAUAUGGUUGCGACGACCAUUAUUCUUAUCUUUAAAGGUUUUCUCGAUAUUUUCCUAUUCCUUCAUUGGAAUGAAUAAAGUUCGGUGGCGACUCUAUUUCGAACAACAUUUUUUCCGCGUCCUAUCGCGAGGGAUCGCAUUAUCAUCAUUUUUUGAGGUGCGACAGACUGGCGACUCUGCUGGGGACCCUGCUCCAAGCAAGAGAGAGUCUAACCUAACUUAGUCUGAUUUUGCUAUGACUGUUGAAAGAUAUUCUUUCUUUCCACGUUUAUAUUUCUGUAUUUUAUUCUGAUUGUUUGUGUUGUAUGUAUUUCCUCUUGAUGCUAUAAUAUGGGGCUUGAUGUAUGUUGUGAGAUAAGCUCCAUACCCGAGCUUCGAGAAAAACUUAGAACCCGGAGUUGUGUAGUAUUGAACCGAGGGGCGUACGCCUAUUGGGACAAUACGAAGACUCCACCUAGAUUAGAUCUGUUUGGAGUUCCCAUCACAAUAUGGCUAGCCCAUCAUUGCGGUGGAGGUUCUAAACACGAUCCGUGACUCUAGGGACCUUGCCUUAAAACCAAGUUUUGUUUUCAUAAUCGGUGAUUAUGUAGUAUUGAACCGAAGGGUGUACACCCUGUUCGUACAAUACGAGAAUCCCACUUAGAUUAGAUCAUUUCAGAACUCCCAUCACAUUGUGGCUAGCCCACCAUUGCGAGGAAGUUUUGAACUUGAUCCGUGAGUCUAAGUUCCUUCCUUGAAAACAUAACUUUAGAACCUACCUUUGGGAAUUUCUAAUCAGAGAAACUUGUACUUCUUCCUCUUAUCCUGACGUACCUGACGUGUGAAUAAUCUUGAGUCUGUAUUCCUUUCCGAAGAACAUGGCACAAUUUCAUGCAUUCGCAUAUCAUAAACAUGCAUUGCAUUUCAUCUUCCAGAAACAAAAACUUACACCAUAUUCUACCCUUUGUCCAGUAAACGCUGACUACUCGACACCGGUACGAGACACGCUGCAAUUACAAGAUGACACUUGAACAGCUUGAAGCCAACCAAGUUUCGAUGAGGACCGACAUUGACUCCAUGCAGGCAAAGAUGGAUCGCUUGCUGGAAACCAUGUUACUCUUGGCCCAAAAGGAGAAGGAUGCUGAGACUAACGCUGAAGCUAGGAAAGUUGCUGCCGAGUUUGGAUCGCCAUCACUUAGCAUCCCUGGAGUAACUAACCUUGAUGGUAAUCCUGCCCAUCCUGAGGGAGGACCGAUCCUUAUUCCUGUUCCCAUGGUCAACAUGAACCCCCGUGAGCAUUCUGCUACAUCUGCUCGCCAUGGAUCCGUGAUGGGCGAUGAAGAUCCGUAUGACGCUUUCUUCAUGCCACAACCCGCCAAGCUUGCUGUUGGAGGUCUCCCAAACCCAAAUGUUGAUAGACUCCAGGCUUUGGAGGAAAAGUUUAAGUCCUUGGAGGUUCACACUACUCCCGGUUUAGACGCCGUUGAUAUGUGCCUGGAGCCAGGACUCGUGAUUCCACAAAAAUUCAAAGUCCCAGACUUUGACAAGUACAAAGGGAUCAGCUGCCCGAGAACUCACCUCAGAGCUUAUUGCCGUAAGAUGGCUGCCCACAUCAGUAAUGAUCAACUCCUGAUUCAUUACUUCCAAGAUAGUCUCAGUGGGGCAUCCUUGGAGUGGUACAUGCAAUUGGAGAAAGGUCAGGUCCAGUCAUGGAGAGACCUUGCUGAAGCAUUCCUCAGGCAUUACCAGUACAAUACUGAUCUAGCACCCAAUCGCACACAGCUGCAAGACAUGACUCAGCGCAAUAAUGAGCCAUUCAAGGAAUAUGCACAACGUUGGAGAGAGCUAGCGGCUCGUGUUCAACCUCCUCUCCUCGACAAAGAACUAAUUGAUAUGUUUAUGGGAACCCUGCACACCCAGUACAUGGAGAAGAUGGUAGGAUCCAGUUUCCCAACUUUUUCUGAGGUCGUCUCUGUGGGAGAACGAAUUGAGAGCCAGAUCAAGAAGGGAAAGCUACCUUGUGCUGCUAAUGCCUCAAAUGGGAUGAAGAAACCUUAUCCUAAUCUCCCAAAGAAGCCAGAAGGGCAAACCAAUGCCAUAAUGAGAGGAGGAGGAUAUAGGGCACGUCCGUAUGCUCCUAUGCCUUACGAUCAGUUUCUGCGGUCAUCCCGACACCAUAUCAGCCACCCUAUCAACAACAGUAUCAACAGCCUUAUCAACAGCCGGCUUACCAACAGCCGCAUCAAAAUCAACAGCAACGUGCUCCACAACCACGUCCACCUAACCAGCAAAGGGCAAGGAGGCCAGAAAGACAUUUCGAUCCUUUGCCAGUACCAUACAGCAAGAUCCUUCCCUACCUGCUAAAGGAUGGAUCAAUUGUUUUGAAGGAGCUAACACCUGCAACUCCGCCAUAUCUACCAGGCUACAACGUCAAUGCUCACUGUGAGUAUCACAUGGGUGCCCCAGGGCACACAAUAGAGAACUGUAAGGCUUUCAAGCACAAGGUCCAGGACUUGGUUGAUAGUAAGGCACUUACAUUCACACCAGUGAGGCCAAACGUUGCAACGAACCCCAUGCUGGCGCAUGCAGAGUCAAGUGAAGCUCGAAGGUAAAGCUUCCCACCAGCCUGAACAAGCAGAGCAUUUCCUCCGAAGAAUCAAAAGAUGAAGGCCUGUUCAUCUGAAUGAAGGCAAUCAUUGUGCCAUUUUUACCAUUUUUGCAUUCUUGUAAUUUGAUCUUGUUUGUCUAAGUACUGUAUGCUCUAAACAUUGUCAUUUGUAUUUGGUUUUAUUAAUGGGAUGAUUAUGCAUGCUUUGAAUCAAUCUUUCAUAUUCACUCAUCUAUCACAUUUGCAAAUCACAAACACAUACUUUUCCACCUCACUUUCUUUCAUCACACUAUUGUUAGUAAAUGUACUUUCAUAUUCACUCAUCUAUCACAUUUGCAAAUCACAAACACAUACUUUUCCACCUCACUUUCUUUCAUCACACUAUUGUUAGUAAAUGUUGGAAGGAGGAUGACGAAAACAAAAUACUCAUAAUUACUGAUUGUAUGCUUUCGGAUAAAACCUUGCUGAUGAUGUACAGGCAUUGUUUCAAAUCCCCAAAUACUGGAGAGAUAAGGAGUUAAUCCAUAGUCAACCACUUCGAGCCUAGAAGUAGGAGUUUCUUUCAGAUCUACAAACCCUUAUGCUUAACCGGGGGCAGGGUAGUGUUCAGUUGAUUUGACUACACAUUCAAAUUACAAGAUGAAAUAUCCCAUACAAGGAUCAAUCACAUGAUAUUCUUCACACACAUAUUGAAGUGUCGAAGAAACCAUACAAAUCCAAAAUUUAGGUUCGUUGUUCUUCAAUGACCAAUGACUUGGCAGUCACAAUUCCAAAAAAAAAAUCAAAGAAAAAACCCGCUAAGUCUAACACCCUGAAAGGAGACUUAGGCAAAAACUGGGGCAAUCCCGAUGGAUUAAAGCUUCAAACAGAGCGGUCCAUGCAAAAGUUAGGGAUCAAAGCAAAAAUCAAAAGAGGCAAUGAAAAUCUUCAACAAAAACAAAACAAGAUUCAGUGACCACCAUAUCAAGAAUCAAAAGGUCACCGACAUCCAAAAAACGAAAUAAGGUGGCUGCCAUUCCAAGAGACCUUGAAUCACCAUCUUUACCCUUACACCUGCAAAAGACGAACGUGUGUGAAUUAACUGAACGUAGGAUUGGAGGUCAUCAUGAAGAAGGGGUGGGUUAAAAUAAACUUUGAGCCUUAUAUCCUUUUGUUUCAAUAACCAUGAACCAAGCCACGUUACAACCCUCAAAAGACCUAAUUGAAGUAAGGUUUGUUCUGAAGGCAUACUAUAGCAAGGUUGAGUAAACUGACUCCCAAAGAUUUGCUAAUAUUCUCUUCUCACUAUAUCAUUCACACACUAGCUGAAUCAGCACCGCGUUUGGACUCAUGGUCCACUCGUCACACACUACCACAACACUCUGAGUGAAUGAUUGUUUUUUAAAAUUUGCAUAAUCGUUGCAUUAAAAUCACCAUUUCUUGAAUAACAAUUCUUAAUUAUCAGUCAGUACUUGAUAUCGAGAAAGAUCCUACAAAGGGCAAUUCAAGGGGCACUUGAUUGAUGGUGCUGACACAUAUCAAGACCAUCUUGUGAAUCAGGGGCAUGGCAUCUUUUGAUCAUAUUGACCUAAGACGUAGUCUGUGUAAGACAAAUCUCCAAGCAUCGGUUGAUCAGGGAAAAAAACACUUCAAUACUCAGUCCGUCUGGGGCAAGUCCCUCAAAGGCUAAUCAGGGGCAGACCAUUGCAAGAUUCAGGAGUUGGGAAAAAUAAACUCAGGCCAUGUCAUGGGAUAAUCACUCCUAAGGUUACCUUUCAAGGAAAAUUCCUUUGAACACCCUACAGUCAGGGGCAAGACAAGUUGCAAGGGGCAAAAUUCCCUUCAUAUCUUCAAGUCAGUCAAGCAGAUUGCAUCAAGACAUUAGCGACUACUUGAAUUCACAACAAAAACGUCGAAAGUUCCUACCAGUACAACAUCAUACCUUGACAAGAAUCCUUAGAGCACGUCAAAAGCACAAUCAUCAUGCGUUAAUCACGUCGCUAUGCUCAGUUACAGGCUGGCCAGGCAUCUUAGAAGAAGAAUCGAGAUCUUCUCGAAGACAAAUACAUAAUAUAUCAGCAAGAGAUCAAACUUGGGGCACCAAGAGUAUCCGCAUCUAUUGCGUGUUCAUCACAUCAUCAGCUACCGAGUGUCGGGAAGUCAGAUCAUGUCACCAAUCAACAGUCCAAUCCACAUUGACAAUUACCAAAAAAACCAAAGCCCGCCUUGGUGGCACCUACACAAAACAAAAAUAACCAACAUUGGUUUCCAAAAAUACAUCACCUUUAAAAGGGGGGCCAAUCCCAAACAAACCAAUCAUUCUUUGCAUUUAAACAUGCAUCACAUACAUCACCUCAUACAUAACGCAUACAUAUCAUUCAUGUACAUAACACGAAUCAAAACCCAAGGUUUAGUCAUAGGCAUCCAGGCCAAUCCUCAAUUGAGUCAUUGUCACUUUCUCUGAGUGAGUUCCUACCCUAUUGGGCGUUCCCCAUUGAGUUAUAUCCUUUAAUCUUUGGUUAAUAAGAUGUCAUCCUCAGCUAAGUCAAGCAAUGUUUCUUUAAACACUUACCUUGUUUCACAUUGAGCGUCCCUCAAUGAGUCGUUUCCUGUAACCUUUUGUUGACAGACACUACAUCUCCCCAGAGAAUAUUGGCUUUGCAACCUUUUGUUGACAGAAACUACAUCUCCCCAGAGAAUAUUGGCUUUGCAACCUUUUGUUGUCAAUACCCCGAGCAAGUCUCAUCCAGCAAUGUUCCAAUGCUACCUAACAAAUCAGGUUUACUGAACUUUGUCGGUAGCUUUGUUUUUCCAAUAUUUUUCUCACUAUCAUCCUUUUGGUGGAAGCCCAAUGAGGAAUAAUAUUGAUCAUCACCCUGUUUACGAUCACCGUUAUCCUUUUGGUAAUGGUAAAUCCUUGAUAUUUGCGAUCUUACUGUCAUCCUUUUGGUGUCGAAGAUCCUUGAAGUUUUGGUCCAACCUUCAUCCUUUUGGUGAAUGGUGACCUCUACAAUUAUUACAGCCUACCGUCAUCCUUUUGGUGUCGAAGAUCCUUGAAGUUUUGGUCCAACCUUCAUCCUUUUGGUGAAUGGUGACCUCUACAAUUAUUACAGCCUACCGUCAUCCUUUUGGUGUCGGCGAUCCUUAUGGUGAUAAGCAAUCCUUGUCAUUUUGGUUCAACCAUCAUCCUUUUGGUGAUGACGUCCAGUUCAAUCCAAUAUCAUCCUUUUGGUGAUAGGGACUAUGGAGUUCAGUUUAAGCUAUCAUCCUUUUGGUGAUGGUGACAUUUGGAAAGUCCAUUCCCACUGUCAUCCUUUUGGUGUCAGCAAUAUUUGAAGUUAUUAUAACUUAUUAUCAUCCUUUUGGUGGUAACAUGUUUUGAAGUUAUGAUCUCACCUUUAUCCUUUUGGUGAUGGUGAUUGUGGAUUCAUUAUCAUCCUUUUGGUGAUAACGAUUUCUGUUGUGUUGUAGUGCCUUCAUCCUUUUGGUGAUGGUGACUAUCGACUUAUUAUCAUCCUUUUGGUGGUAACAAGUUGUGUCUUUUGACAAUACCUUCAUCCUUUUGGUGAUGGUGAUUGUUGACUUAUUAUCAUCAUUUUGGUGAUAACAAGUUUGUGUCUUGAUCCUACCUUCAUCCUUUUGGUGAUGGUGAUCAAUUGCGUGUGUGCUUCUUAUCAUCCUUUUGGUGGUAACAAGUUUUGUCGUUUGACAAUACCUUCAUCCUUUUGGUGAUGGUGAUUGUUGACUAUCUUAUCAUCCUUUUGGUGAUAACAAGUUUGUGUCUUGAUCCUACCUUCAUCCUUUUGGUGAUGGUGAUCAAUUGCGGUGUGUGUAUAUCAUCUUUGUGAUAAACUAAGUUUUGUCGUUUGGACAACAAACCUUCAUCCUUUUGGUGAUGGUGAUUGUUGACUUCUUAUCAUCCUUUUGGUGAUAACAAGUUGUGUGUCUUGAUCCUACCUUCAUCCUUUUAGUGAUGGUGAUCAGUUGCGUGAGUGCUUAUUAUCAUCCUUUUGGUGGUACUAAGUUUUGUCGUUUGACAGUACCUUCAUCCUUUGGUGAUGGUGAUUAUCAUCCCUUUGGUGAUAACAAAUUUGUCUUGAUCUUACUUCAUCCUUUCUGGUGACGGUUGAUCAAUUGCGUUGUGUGCUUAUUAUCAUCCUUUUGGUGGUAACAAGUUUUAUCUUUUAAUUAUACCUUCAUCCUUUUGGUGAUGGUGAUUAUCAUCCUUUUGGUGAUAACAAGUUUGUCUUGAUCUUACCUUCAUCCUUUUGGUGACGAUGAUCGAUUGUGUGUUGAUUUAUUAUCAUCCUUUUGGUGAUAACAAGUUUGUUGUGUGACUAUACCUUCAUCCUUUUGGUGAAUGGUGAUCAUUGAAGUUGUUUGACUUAUUAUCAUCCUUUUGGUGAUAACAAGUUUUGAUUGUUGGAUAUUACCUUCAUCCUUUUGGUGACGGUGAUCUUUGAAGUUGAUGAAUUAACUAUCAUCCUUUUGGUGAUAGUCUUGAUACUAUACUCUCAGUAAUGGGAAUCUUUGGAUUGUGUCUAGCUUUCAUCCUUUAGGUGAUAGCGAGAUUUGUUGUUAAUCUUACCAUCAUCCUUUUGGUGAUGGCGAUCUUUGUUGUAGCCACUGUAACCAUCAUCCUUUUGGUGAUGACUACCUUUGAAACUCAACUUAUCCAUCAUCCUUUUGGUGAUGACAAUCCUCAAAAUCAUGGUGAAUCUCUGUCAUCCUUUUGGUGUCAGAAAACCGAUCCCAAUUUUGUCUUUACAUCAGAAACGACCUUUACAAGGUUUGAAUGUUGACUCGAGGGUUGACAUUGAUCGGACAUCCUACCCCAAUACCUUGGUGCCGUUAGAAUCCAUUGCAUUUCAUUUCAAAGGACAAAUUUGGGUCUUUUUAUAUUUAAUUACCUUCCACCACGAAUGUACGAAGACUGUCGUCAUUCUUACCCUCUGGUUCAAGUUAAUUAAAUAGGGGCAACUGUCAUACCCCAAUUUUGUCCGGGCAUAUUUAAAUUUCGAUAAAAAAAUCAAUUUCAUUUUUUUUACAUCAUAUGCAUAGCAUAACAUGCAUUCCAUCAUAAAUAAUGCAUAAAAACAUGCAUUUCAAUAAAAUCAAUUUCGUCUAGGAGUAUGGUUUAUUGCACAAAUACAAGGAAAAGGGAUAUCUUCUUGAGGUGGAAUGCUAGUAUGGAUCAAGGUCAGGUUUGAGUUUCGUCUUGCCAACACCAUAAUGCUAAAUCCUUAAGCAAAGUCAUGAACAUGGUUUAUUACAGACAGCAAUCGCUGACAUGCCAAAGUAGUCCAUAACCUUUAAUGAGAUCACGGUUGGUUUGAGAACAUUGCUUAUUUUGUUUUUUGCACCUUACUGAACCAAGUUGGCAAGAGUUGACAAGAUAUUAAAUGAAUGACUUAAAUUCACGAUUUUUGUUCUUCAUUUGUAAUCAUCAUUUAGGCCACAGAUUAAGAGGUCUUUAGGAUAAAGACCAAGUGUUCAGACGUGUGUCAAAUGGCCAAGAAUCCCAAAAUACAAUAUGGCAUGGUUUAAAAAUAUCAAUGUAGAAUUACAUUAGCUGAACAAAUUUUGGAUUUUUACAAACAUAAUUGUUUCAAUUGCCAUUAAUGGAAAUACAUCAUUGUUUUCGAUUACAAGCAAUCCUAGGUUCUGAAUAAUAUUACAGCCAAGCCAAAUGGAAGAAAUAAUUUUCUAAAAAAAUCAAGAAUACACAUCAUCCUGUCAUGACAGUCGCCCAUGCCCUUCCCUGCAUUAUGCUUCCAUAAACCGUUUAGGAACCGCAGGGGUAUCCUCCAGCACCAUACUCUGACCGGCAAAUGAAUACAUGGUUUGUUUCUGUUGUCGCCACUUGCUAUAAGUAUAGUACCUGCUGCAAGCCAAAUCCAAACGUGUAUAACAUAAACCCAAAACUGCAACCUGCAAAGACCGCAGAAGCUCCACAUUAAUACAAACAGCAAGCGAAGGCAUAAGUUUACAAUUUGUAUUCUUAAACUUCACGGUUCACAGAAGUCCUAGCCUAUGAUCUGAAGACAUGUUGGCAAUACAAGAGAAUAUUAUUCAAGCAGUGAAAUAGCAUGGCAGCUGAGCAAUACAAAGCACUCUCUUCAUCAAGUAAUUCCAAGAAUUCGCGAGACACGUCCUGAUAAGCAUACCGCAAACUGCAAUCCAGAUGCCGAUUACAUAAUAUACCAGCUAGAGUGAGUAAGGUUAGCCGAAGCCAAAAGGCCAGUAUUAUCGUGGGAUUUCAUGUUGUUGCAAGAGGGGAAACAAUACCAGGCAGUGUUCUGAACUUAAGACCAUAACCAGGUUGCGCAAAACCGUGGAACAUAACUUAGCAUGCCACCAUUUCCAGUCAUUCAUCACGAGAAAAUUACAUUAAUCAUGAGGACGGUAUAUUCGGCAAAACAGUGAAUUCUACAUUACAGUCUGGAAAUGCAUAACGUGAAUUAAAGACAUGAAUAUGCCACUUAAACCAGGGCCUAUUCCUUUACAAACUUGCUGCAGAUUCAGUACACAAACCAAGACAAAAGGCACAUAAUAAAACCUGUUACUACAGUUUCUGCAGAAUUGACUAGGAGGUCUCAACAAGGACUGAGAUUGUUGGCUAGCCGUCAAUGACAAGGACCGAGCUUGUGAAUCAACUGCAGGUGUACAUAGAAGAAAGCCAAUAAAAACUGCCAAUGCACAUAGUUCGUCAUGAUUAAAAUGGUGUAAGGAAAUGCUAUCACGGGACUGUGAUGAGAGUUAACCAUACCAUUUGUGUGUAAACCAGGAUUAGCUAUCAGGGAGCUAGACGUGUCAGUAGGCCCGCUGCAGCCUGCAUACCAUAAAUGAGCCAAGGAACAUACAGGACACAAGUUUUGCAAUACCUGAAUGGUAAAACAACAGUUUGAUCAGAAGUAAAAUCAUGAAUAAGUAAGAGCAAGGUUAUAAUAAUAAGCAUAUUGUACAGGAUUCCAUGCAGGAUAAAUAGAUCAAAAUCAUUAUUUAUACCAAGCUCAAAUGUCAAUGGCACAUUGAAGCAGGUCGCAAGAAAUCGUAAGCAGAAGUUGGUCCUUAAUUCCCAAGCGUCAAAUUCUGAACUUACAAGAAAAGAAUAAAUUAUGAUCCAGGUGUGCAGAGAGUGAAAAAAAGAAAAUCAGAAGGGCCAUAGUUGAUCCAUCUUACUCUGUUUAAAGGAAACCGGUUCACUGGUAGCAAAACAAGCGGUAAUCAAGUAAAGACAUCGUUGUCGUGCGAACAGGAAUAACCAAAGGCAAGGAACAAUUCCAUAAACCUGCCAAGACAGAGUUACAGGUCAGAAGGCAAACCACCAUCAAAAUUCAUAGUGAAUGAAGGUAUGAGAAAUAAUCAAAAACCUGGGCUGAACCUUGACAGAAGCCUUGCCGAACCAACAAAUCCACAACAGACCGGCAUGGACUGCGUAACAGCUUAAAUGCGAGUGCAAUAGCAUCACGUUACCUGCAUAAACCAAGAGAAGCUUAAAUUUCUGGAAGUUAUGAGGAAACGCCCUGUCAUAUCAGUUGAAAAAAAGGCCACGUUGGCAAAACAAGGAAUAGUUAAGUGUUUUGAGGAUGAAAUUACAUAACAGUAAAAAUCAAAUUUUCUUACCACAGGAAGCAUGUAUUUUACUGCAUCGAAGAGAUUUCACUACCAACAAACUCUUCCGCUAAUGCUUAUCACUUUGGGACCACUUCUGUUUGGAGGGACCACGCAUCAUAGAGGGAUUCCACUACCAACAAACUCGCCUUACCACAAUCAUUUUUGUCCCCCACUAAGUCUGAGAUAUUCUAAUAGAAUGAUUCUUGGGAUCCUCCGCCAGCUCACAAUGAAUACAUUAUUGGGGACCUUGGAUUUCCUCUAUAAAUAAGGAGUCUCUAAUCAUUGAAAGGGGAAAAAAAAUUUGCACCGGUACUCUGCAGAAAAAAGUCCAAAACCCUUAUCAAAGCUCUAAAAUUUCUGAGCUUGUUGAGAUUUCACAUUGGAUCUCAACAAGUUUGAGCUAAAAACCACUACACGGAACGGACCAAUGAUAACCAUACAUACAAGAAGAACACGAAGGAAGGAAAAAGAAUAGAGAAAUACCUGAAGCAGAUCAAACCUCCUUGUUGUCGGUAUCCUUUCACAUUUACUUCCUUCACGCUGAAACCUUUAACAUAACUGUUAUUUGUUCAUGAUUGAGUUUGUAUUUCAACUUCCACCAUAGCAUAUAGUGACUUGGUAAUUGUUGAAUGAGUGUGUCGGUUUGUUUAGACUAUAUCAUUUGAAGUCCUUACGCUUCUUUGCUUCUCUAUACAUGCACAAUUCGUUGGUUAUUGAUUUUUUUGGGGAUUUGGGAUUUAGGGUAUAAUCGAUAACUGGGUAUGUAUGAUCGGUUUUGAUGUUCACCAGGGAUGAAUCAAUUUGUUGCUAGAUCUUUGCUUAGGACUUUGGUUAAAAACAUGAUGGCAUUGUUUCGGAGAUGGAGAGGGUCGAAGAUCUGAGAGAAGAGAGUGGAGAUUUGUUUUUGUGGUGGUUUUUUAAUUGCAUUUUAAUUAUGUUGAUGAUGGAAAGUAUGAAUCAUAGCUAGAUGCAGGUCAAUUAAUUAAUCAUAAAGUGCUAACAUUUCCCUAGACGCACGCGUUGUCCACCACCUGGGGAAGACCGUGGUCACGCGGACUCAGUGUUUUGGGUUUUUUUUUUUUCCUUUCACUCGGAACCUUUUGGGCGAGUCUAGAAGAGUUUGGGCUUAAGGCCCAUUUCAAAUUUUUGUUGCUGAGUAUAAAAAAGGAUUUUAGGGCCUUGGGGCCUAUUGCGAACCCUAGCCAGCUUUUAGGGCUUUACCCCCUGUUCAUUUUCCAUACCCCCUAAUUCUUUGGUUUAUUAAUUUCUUAUUUUGUAUGUUUUAUAAAAAAUAAUUACAGUAGCUUAAUUUUGAUUAUUAUUUCUAAUCAAAUUUUAGAACAUCAUAAUUAAUUAAAAUGUCUAAGUAUUUUACUUUUAAUCUUUAAAUGAAAAGGAGAAUAGUAAGCCUCCGCUUCACUAUUUCCCAAUUACUCGAAUAAUUGGCGUACGCCAUAUUGCGCGAGUUCUUGUCAUCCGAUUACAUCCUUAAACACAAUUUCAAAUCACUUUUCAAAAUAUAAUAUAAUUUCAAAAGAUUUUUCUCUUUUAAAUAUAGCUUGGGAUGAAAAGGAGAUAGGAAGCGUACGCUUCACUAUUUCUCAAGCACUUGAACAAUUGGCGUACGCCAUAUUGCGUGAGUUCUUG
rnacentral:lncRNA from 1 species